AUCUAAUUAUUUGGGCAUUGAAUCAACUUCUUUUUAAGCCUUUCCCAAGCCUCAUGUAGAGACUCACCACUCACUUGACGAAAGUUGGUUAUUUCAUCUCUCAGUU
rnacentral:snoRNA from 1 species